rnacentral:rRNA from 1 species
UUCGGGGUACUCGAGCGGCGAACGGGUGAGUAACACGUGAGUAACCUGCCCCCGACUCUGGGAUAAGCCCGGGAAACUGGGUCUAAUACCGGAUAUGACACCUCCUCGCAUGGGGUGGGUGUGGAAAGUUUUUCGGUUGGGGAUGGACUCGCGGCCUAUCAGCUUGUUGGUGGGGUAAUGGCCUACCAAGGCGACGACGGGUAGCCGGCCUGAGAGGGCGACCGGCCACACUGGGACUGAGACACGGCCCAGACUCCUACGGGAGGCAGCAGUGGGGAAUAUUGCGCAAUGGGCGAAAGCCUGACGCAGCGACGCCGCGUGGGGGAUGACGGCCUUCGGGUUGUAAACCUCUUUCAGCAGGGACGAAGUUGACGUGUACCUGCAGAAGAAGCGCCGGCUAACUACGUGCCAGCAGCCGCGGUAAUACGUAGGGCGCAAGCGUUGUCCGGAAUUAUUGGGCGUAAAGAGCUCGUAGGUGGCUUGUCACGUCGGGUGUGAAAGCUUGGGGCUUAACUCCAGGUCUGCAUUCGAUACGGGCUGGCUAGAGGUAGGUAGGGGAGAACGGAAUUCCUGGUGUAGCGGUGAAAUGCGCAGAUAUCAGGAGGAACACCGGUGGCGAAGGCGGU